GCGUAUACGAAGAGAAGAAAUCAUUUACACCAAAAGAGGAUGAAUGAUUUGGUUUUUGUUUUGUAUAAUUUGAAGCUAAAAGAAAGGCAAGCUAGGAGGGAGGCUGAUCCUAAAGCUACCAAUUUGUGUUUUUGAUGAUAUCCCAUAUGAUGAUGAAUAUAUAACAGAAAGAAAAAGCCCUACUCUUCCACCCAAUGGAAGAUGGUUGAAUGUUCUUGAUAGGGCAGGUCGUAAAUGAGCCUUUAAUGGUGAUGAAAGUGAUGAAUCUUGGGAUGAUGGAGAAUUCAUUACAAGGACUACAAGAAGCAUGUAGUUCAAAUAUUGAUGUUGGGAUAGAAAAGGAAGAUUAAAUACAAAUUCAUGAAGUGAUAGUGACAACGAAUUUGAUGAACCCAUGAUUGAUUCUAGAGAUGAAGCAUCCAAUACAUUUGAUGAUGAUGAGGUCCACGACGUCGAUGAUGAUAUUGAUGAUGAACGAGAUGAAGACAUUGAUGAUGAUCUUGAUGUAUAUGGCUUAGAUUGUCCCAACACGACGAUCUAGCUUGACAGUUUUAGGCUUUUAGUUUAUUUGUUGGUUGGUUAUUAUUAAAACCUAUUUAAGUUUGUAUUGUUAAUUGGGUAUGUCUUAUGAAUUGGAUAUUUGGAUGGUUUGAAUAUUGAGUUUUAAUUGUGUUGUGUGGGAAGUUGGGAACUGAGAA